CCUACCUCAGACAACACUGAACUAACUGGUACCUCAUCGACAUCAGAAAAUACGGAGAUAGCCAUAAAACGGCUACAGUAUGUGAAGCUGGGCUGCUUUGCUCACACACUCAGUCUAGCAGCACAAAGUCUCUACCUGACUGCAGUGACACAGUGGACUGCAAAGAUCCGUGCCUUUGUUGUGUGGACGAAGAGGUCCUCGAUGGCAAAGAUUGUUCUACGAGAGAAGCAAGAUCUCGUCAGUAAGAAUCUCUGAAUUAGUUUCAUUUGAUCAACUUUUUUAGUAAAGUACAUUUUGCAGGUUUUACAUUUUCUGAAAUAGUACAACAUAACAAAUUUGAUAUCUGAUGUGAGAACUAGGUGGAAUUCUCUUUACCUUAUGCUGGAGAGAUUCUUAGAGCAAUACCCUGCAAUUCAAGCAGCCAGCUUGGAUCAACAGCUGAGGAAGAAUAUGGAGAGGGACAGGUAGAAAUAGAUAGGAGAGAGAUUUUUUCUGAAUACAGAUAUCCAGUUCAAAGAACAUAUGCAUCCAACAGCAAAAACACACAAGAAUAUAACAAAACACUAAGCAGCUUAAGUUUAAGUUUAGUCAAUUUCAACUUUAAGUGGAGUCAAAAAGUCAACAGCACGAACAUGAAUAACAAUGAUUAAUUUUCCGACAAUGUAUCCUUUCUCAUGUAGACUUGCCUGGCUGAGUGAUGAAGACUUCAGGAAGGCAGAGGACUUUAUCAACUUGAUAAUAGUUCUUUACACUUCCACACUUUGCGUAUCAACUGAAAAGAGCACCACAUGUGGUCAGAUUCUGCCAAUUCUCCAAAAGCUUGAGAGGCAUUUUGCUGUUGUUGAGGGAGACACAGGAUUUUUAUCUAACCUCAAAAAGCAAGUUUGGACAAAGCUUUCCAAGCGAUACCAGCGAGCACAUCAGGAUCUUUCUUGAAGUGGCAACAGCAUUGGACCCACGCUUUAAACAAAAGAUGGAGAACAGUGCCAGUGUCUGGGACCAGAUCAAGAGAGAGAUGAUGACAGAAUCUGAGCAGUUUGUAUAGCAACCACCUCCCAGCAAACAACCAAGAAAGUCUCCAUUGGAAGAGCUUUUUGCCGAUGAGGAUGCACAAAAGAUGUCAUUAUAGCAGAGGAGGACCAUGUCCAUCCAGGACCAGGCAGAGAAGGAGAUGCAGAUGUAUAAGGAGACACCCCCAACCUUUACGGCCGAUGACCCUACUGCCUGGUGGUGGAACCAGCGCAAGACUUAUCCUUUAUUGUCAGCAUCUCAAAAACUGUAAAUCACCUUUGAAUCAA